rfam:Hordeum vulgare subsp. vulgare, WGS project CAJW01000000 data, contig: morex_contig_277002
UAGGUACUCCCUCCGUCCGAAAAUAGUUGUCUUCGAAAUGGAUGUAUCUAGACUUAUUUUAGUUAUAGAUACAUCCAUUUUAUUAUUUCUAGGACAAGUAUUUCCGGACGGAGGGAGUACAAC